AUGUACUCAUAUUACAUAUUCAUAUUCAUUAUAUAUUCAUAAUGAGACAGCAGCUCACCAGUAUGGCUUGGAAUUCACUGUGCAGCUCCAGCUGACCUCCAAUAUCCUGCCUCAGCCUCCUCUGUACCUGUAUCCCAAAUACAUGAUGCCUGAGAAAUUGUUCAUAUCAAUGCGAGGAAUUCUGGAGGCCAUGAAGCAGCUGUGCUACAGGGAAAACAACCUCAACUUUUCCCUUAGAAAUUGAGUUCUGCUGUGUCAACGUGACUAUGUCUGCCCUGGACUACUUGUAAUGAUGGAAUUCCUAGAAUCAACACUGCGGAUGAUGAAAGGUAACCUGAACUGAAUUUCCUCAACUUGAAUGAAGUUGAAGGAUCACUGCAUAACUAUUCCAAGUAGAAGAUGCAUUUCAGUUGUUGCUAGGGGUUACUGUGCCCCAUCCAUGAAUAAAAUGAGUUGAGAGC
rnacentral:lncRNA from 1 species